rnacentral:rRNA from 1 species
UUCUCGGGUUCUCUCUCUAGCCAAUUAGUACCACUCCAUCCACUUUUCCCCUUCUUUCUCCCUCCGGUCCGGUGGAUCUCCAGCCACCCAGGCCCGAGCCAUGGGCGGAGACGGCGACUUCAACGCCGCAGGCGGCGGAAGGGGGGUUGCGGGUCGGAGGCGUGGGCGGCAAGUGCGAGGCAGCCGCGGGCGGGAGACGCAGGGCGGCGCCCCGGCCCGAAGGCCGCGGCAGGAGUUCGUCGCCGAGGGCCCGAGGCGGCAAGUGCGAGGCAGCCGCGGGCGGAAGACGCAGAGCGCCGCCCCGGCCCGGAGAGGUCGCGGCAGGAUUUCGUCGCCGAGGGCCCGAGGCGGAGCGCACGGGGUCGGCAGGCGCAGCGCCGGCGAGUUGCUGGAGUAAGGAUUGUGCAGCGGCGAGGAGGCGCUGGCUGCUUCCGCUUCCGCAACACGAAGGCGACGAUGCGCGAGUCCCGGCCUCGUCCAGAUCAUCCAUCGCCAAUUCGCCAGGUAGUAGAUCACCAUUGAGAGGUGCUGCUUCUAAGGUGUAAAAUCCAUCCAGGUACCUAAACCUAC